rnacentral:rRNA from 1 species
UACAGAGGGGGCAAGCGUUGUUCGGAAUUACUGGGCGUAAAGGGCGCGUAGGCGGCCUGUUAAGUCGGACGUGAAAUCCCCGGGCUCAACCCGGGAACUGCGUCCGAUACUGGCAGGCUUGAGUCCGGGAGAGGGAUGCGGAAUUCCAGGUGUAGCGGUGAAAUGCGUAGAUAUCUGGAGGAACACCGGUGGCGAAGGCGGCAUCCUGGACCGGCAUUGACGCUGAGGCGCGAAAGCCAGGGGAGCAAACGGG